rnacentral:lncRNA from 10 species
CUUUGAGAAGAUCUCAUAGCAGAUAACCUGAUGACUAUGUGCCUAAAGGCUGGUCUCACUCCCACUGUGCCCCUGCAACAGCACUGAGUCUAUUUCCAGGAAGCUGGAGAUCAGAGCUGAGAACUUGCACCAGACCACAAGCCUCGCCGUUGAGAAAGCAAGCCAACUCACAGUUUUUUGGCAUCUCCGAGAGCCUGCAGCAGUAAUUCAGUUUCUUCAAAGGGUUGUGGAUUCUCUCAGCUUUCCUGGUGUGUUCCUGAGGUAGUUCUUGGAGCAAAAGUUCACGAUGUGAGUCUCCACACGCUGCUCUGUCUGUCUGAGCCGGGGCUGCAAGCUACUUCUGCCUCCUAUUCAUCAUCUUAAUCCAAGAAUAUCUCCAUUCUCUUCUUACAUUGUCAUAUUAUAUCAGUAAUGACUUCCCUAAAUGUAUCAACUGGCCAGGCAUUGUGGCUCAGGACCGUAAUUCCAGCACUUUGCAAGGCUGAGGCGGGAGGAUCACUUGUGCUUGGGAGUUCGAGACCAGUCUGGGCAACAUGGUGAGACUCUGUCUCUACAAAAAAUAAAAAGAAAAAUAACUGGGCGAUUACACCACCACAUUCCAAUCUGGGUGACGGAGUGAAACUCUGUCUCAAAAAAAAAAAAAAGAAUAAAUAAGUGUAUCAACUAAGUCUCAUCUUUUCUCAUAGUUUCCUUCAUUUUUCUUUUUGCCACAUUUGAGGAGUUUGCACUGGUUUUCUAAAUGCCAAUGUACAUUCUGCUCCGUCCAAACCAUAAUUAUAAAACAUUAAAAACGUGGAUUUACAAAUUGAGAACGUGGAUCAGAAGAACAUUUCAAAUUGUGCCUCCAGUUAGCAGACAAGAUGGAUUCCCUGUGGCUCAAAAGUUACAAGCAGAACCAAGAGGCCAUGGCAGGGUGAGAGGGCAGUCACAUUCUGUUGUGUCCUUAGAAAGUGUUGCAGAACCUGUUUUUCUGCAACUGAGUCAAAGAACAGUUCCUGAAAAGUACUGCAGCUGGAAAUUUCCCAGCUGACCGCUAGCAAGUCACCUGGAGCCAACCAGCUGACCACCUGGAACCAGCCAAUCAAGAAAGACUGAUGAUAUGGGGCUUAAAGGUCAUCUGGUCCAGACUCUGUUCCUCAUUCCCCUGCCUCCCCUUCCCUGCCCUGCAGUUUUUACCUUCAUAAUCUCCUGCAUUCCAGACCCUCUUCAAAGUGCACUUUCAUCUCCGCAAUCUGCAGAUUGCUUUUAGAAAAUAAAGUUGUAGGUUGACUGUAGUUAAUAACAACUUAAUUGAAUAUUUUAAAAUAAGUUAAAGAAUGUGAUUGGAUUGUUUGUAACUCAAAAGAUAAAUGCUUGAAGGGAAAGACACCCAAUUCUCCACGAUGUGCUUGUUUCAUAUUGCACGCCUGUAUCAAAACAUCUCGAGUACCCCAGAAACAUAUACACGUACUAUGUACCCACAAAUAUUUAAAAUAAU